rnacentral:rRNA from 1 species
GGCUCAGGAUGAACGCUAGCGGCAGGCUUAAUCAUGCAAGUCGUGGGGCAGCAUGAGUAGCAAUACUUGAUGGCGACCGGCAAACGGGUGAGGAACACGUACACAACCUUCCUUCAAGCGGGGAAUAGCCCAGAGAAAUUUGGAUUAAUACCCCAUAAUAUAUUUGAUAAGGCAUCUUAUUAAUAUUAAAGCUUCGGCACUUGAUGAUGGGUGUGCGGCUGAUUAGAUAGUUGGCGGGGUAACGGCCCACCAGGUCUACGAUCAGUAGCUGAUGUGAGAGCAUGAUCAGCCACACGGGCACUGAGACACGGGCCCGACUCCUACGGGAGGCAGCAGUAAGGAAUAUUGGACAAUGGACGAAAGUCUGAUCCAGCCAUGCCGCGUGAAGGAUUAAGGUCCUCUGGAUUGUAAACUUCUUUUAUAUGGGACGAAAAAAGGGCAUUCUUGUUCACUUGACGGUACCAUAUGAAUAAACACCGGCUAACUCCGUG